UACAGAGGGUGCGAGCGUUGUCCGGAAUCACUGGGCGUAAAGGGCGCGUAGGUGGCUGGGUAAGUGUGCGGUGAAAGCCCGGGGCUCAACCCCGGGUCGGCCGUGCAGACUGCUUGGCUUGAACAUAGUAGAGGCAGGUGGAAUUCCGGGUGUAGCGGUGGAAUGCGUAGAGAUCCGGAAGAACACCGGUGGCGAAGGCGGCCUGCUGGGCUAUUGCUGACACUGAGGCGCGACAGCGUGGGGAGCAAACAGG
rnacentral:rRNA from 1 species